UUGCCUACGGGAGGCAGCAGUGAGGAAUAUUGGUCAAUGGGAGAGAUCCUGAACCAGCCAAGCCGCGUGAGGGAAGACGGCCCUAUGGGUUGUAAACCUCUUUUGUCGGAGAACAAAACCCGGGACGUGUCCCGGACUGCGUGUAUCCGAAGAAAAAGCAUCGGCUAACUCCGUGCCAGCAGCCGCGGUAAUACGUAGGUGGCAAGCGUUGUCCGGAUUUAUUGGGCGUAAAGCGAGUGCAGGCGGUUCAAUAAGUCU
rnacentral:rRNA from 1 species